GAGCCGAGACUCAGAUGCCACUAGCUGGCGCUGACAUCUUGCCCUCAAAACUUAAACCUCCAGGGUGCAUGCGUAGAUGCGUAUACACGCUAAAGAUUGCGUGAGCACGCUAAGGAUUGCGUAGGCACGCCGGUAAGAGUGAGCAGCCAACCAGGGUAUUGACACGUCACAAGGCCGCUAGCAUAAUGGUCCUAGUCAUCAGGCGGGGUAAAAGUAAGCAGCCAGUCAGGGUAUUCACACGUCACUCAGGUGCGACCCCGGCUUAUAUAAACAGCGCUACUCCGGGGCCCGCCCUCUCCUUCGAUCUCUUCCCCGUUUCCCCGCCCGGGGCCGCGGCCCUCGGGAAGCCGCCCGCGCCCACGAGGUGGCCGGGCGGCCUCUCUCUCCCCUCUUCAUCGCGUGACUAAUAAAGUUUACUGCGGAAGGAUUCCUGUGGUCGCGUGCGUUUCUGCCGGCGAAACAUUCACGCGGCGGCUCCCAACAUCUGGUGCUGAAACCCCGGAACAUUGCUGGGAAGAAAACAAUCCAUUCUGGGUACCGGAGCGCCUCACGCGAAAGCUCGUGACAGCUGAAGAUGAUCUUCCAACAGACACACCUGCUACUGCUGAAAGAAUCAAGGACAGCGAGGAGGACCACUAAUUCUACUCGAGUGGAUUCAUUGCCCACAGACUGGCUUUACCCUGGGUUUCUUCUGCCUUUUCUUACUUCAGAUUGGGUGGGGGUCGGAAUGUUUGGUGUAGCAUUGUGUCGUGGCUUAGUGUUUUUUACUCUGGUUGUUCUGCAAACUCUAUACCCAAAACAAACGUGACUAGGUCGCAAUCGCGCAAGCACUAGCACCCUUGGAACAAGGAUCGUCUCCCAAAAAUUUGGUUAUCCAUGUUAAAAAAUUAAAACAGACUGUGACACUCAGUCGAUGCACCUCAGGGGUUUCACCCAUUGCACUGAGUCGAUGAGUGAUCCAGGUUAAUGUUGCCUUUGCCUAAACGGUUAUGGUACCUAGACAGGAGGGUGACAGCUCUUGCACUCCCUGGAAUUUUAUUCCAUUGCACGGGAAUGAGUGUCACCUCCUUUCUGAGAUGUGGUACCUAGACAGGAGGGUGACAGCUCUUGCACUCCCUGGAAUUUUAUUCCAUUGCACGGGAAUGAGUGUCACCUCCUUUUAAAAAUCUUCUCCCCUAGCCCCUGCACCCAGAGGACUUGUUUCCAUUGCACCUGGUGGGGUAAGGGAGUAAUCUAAAGCUUUUGAUCGCUUACUCCCCAAAGAAGGAGUUUGCUUGAUCGAGCUUAGGGCCCUCUUGUACCGUGCUUAUAGGCUUUUAGGCAGUUUUCAUUUAUUUAUUUAUAACAAAAAGGGAGAUGUGGGGAGCCGAGACUCAGAUGCCACUAGCUGGCGCUGACAUCUUGCCCUCAAAACUUAAACCUCCAGGGUGCAUGCGUAGAUGCGUAUACACGCUAAAGAUUGCGUGAGCACGCUAAGGAUUGCGUAGGCACGCCGGUAAGAGUGAGCAGCCAACCAGGGUAUUGACACGUCACAAGGCCGCUAGCAUAAUGGUCCUAGUCAUCAGGCGGGGUAAAAGUAAGCAGCCAGUCAGGGUAUUCACACGUCACUCAGGUGCGACCCCGGCUUAUAUAAACAGCGCUACUCCGGGGCCCGCCCUCUCCUUCGAUCUCUUCCCCGUUUCCCCGCCCGGGGCCGCGGCCCUCGGGAAGCCGCCCGCGCCCACGAGGUGGCCGGGCGGCCUCUCUCUCCCCUCUUCAUCGCGUGACUAAUAAAGUUUACUGCGGAAGGAUUCCUGUGGUCGCGUGCGUUUCUGCCGGCGAAACAUUCACGCGGCGGCUCCCAACAUCUGGUGCUGAAACCCCGGAACAUUGCUGGGAAGAAAACAAUCCAUUCUGGGUACCGGAGCGCCUCACGCGAAAGCUCGUGACAGCUGAAGAUGAUCUUCCAACAGACACACCUGCUACUGCUGAAAGAAUCAAGGACAGCGAGGAGGACCACUAAUUCUACUCGAGUGGAUUCAUUGCCCACAGACUGGCUUUACCCUGGGUUUCUUCUGCCUUUUCUUACUUCAGAUUGGGUGGGGGUCGGAAUGUUUGGUGUAGCAUUGUGUCGUGGCUUAGUGUUUUUUACUCUGGUUGUUCUGCAAACUCUAUACCCAAAACAAACGUGACUAGGUCGCAAUCGCGCAAGCACUAGCACCCUUGGAACAAGGAUCGUCUCCCAAAAAUUUGGUUAUCCAUGUUAAAAAAUUAAAACAGACUGUGACACUCAGUCGAUGCACCUCAGGGGUUUCACCCAUUGCACUGAGUCGAUGAGUGAUCCAGGUUAAUGUUGCCUUUGCCUAAACGGUUAUGGUACCUAGACAGGAGGGUGACAGCUCUUGCACUCCCUGGAAUUUUAUUCCAUUGCACGGGAAUGAGUGUCACCUCCUUUCUGAGAUGUGGUACCUAGACAGGAGGGUGACAGCUCUUGCACUCCCUGGAAUUUUAUUCCAUUGCACGGGAAUGAGUGUCACCUCCUUUUAAAAAUCUUCUCCCCUAGCCCCUGCACCCAGAGGACUUGUUUCCAUUGCACCUGGUGGGGUAAGGGAGUAAUCUAAAGCUUUUGAUCGCUUACUCCCCAAAGAAGGAGUUUGCUUGAUCGAGCUUAGGGCCCUCUUGUACCGUGCUUAUAGGCUUUUAGGCAGUUUUCAUUUAUUUAUUUAUAACAAAAAGGGAGAUGUGGGGAGCCGAGACUCAGAUGCCACUAGCUGGCGCUGACAUCUUGCCCUCAAAACUUAAACCUCCAGGGUGCAUGCGUAGAUGCGUAUACACGCUAAAGAUUGCGUGAGCACGCUAAGGAUUGCGUAGGCACGCCGGUAAGAGUGAGCAGCCAACCAGGGUAUUGACACGUCACAAGGCCGCUAGCAUAAUGGUCCUAGUCAUCAGGCGGGGUAAAAGUAAGCAGCCAGUCAGGGUAUUCACACGUCACUCAGGUGCGACCCCGGCUUAUAUAAACAGCGCUACUCCGGGGCCCGCCCUCUCCUUCGAUCUCUUCCCCGUUUCCCCGCCCGGGGCCGCGGCCCUCGGGAAGCCGCCCGCGCCCACGAGGUGGCCGGGCGGCCUCUCUCUCCCCUCUUCAUCGCGUGACUAAUAAAGUUUACUGCGGAAGGAUUCCUGUGGUCGCGUGCGUUUCUGCCGGCGAAACAUUCACGCGGCGGCUCCCAACAUCUGGUGCUGAAACCCCGGAACAUUGCUGGGAAGAAAACAAUCCAUUCUGGGUACCGGAGCGCCUCACGCGAAAGCUCGUGACAGCUGAAGAUGAUCUUCCAACAGACACACCUGCUACUGCUGAAAGAAUCAAGGACAGCGAGGAGGACCACUAAUUCUACUCGAGUGGAUUCAUUGCCCACAGACUGGCUUUACCCUGGGUUUCUUCUGCCUUUUCUUACUUCAGAUUGGGUGGGGGUCGGAAUGUUUGGUGUAGCAUUGUGUCGUGGCUUAGUGUUUUUUACUCUGGUUGUUCUGCAAACUCUAUACCCAAAACAAACGUGACUAGGUCGCAAUCGCGCAAGCACUAGCACCCUUGGAACAAGGAUCGUCUCCCAAAAAUUUGGUUAUCCAUGUUAAAAAAUUAAAACAGACUGUGACACUCAGUCGAUGCACCUCAGGGGUUUCACCCAUUGCACUGAGUCGAUGAGUGAUCCAGGUUAAUGUUGCCUUUGCCUAAACGGUUAUGGUACCUAGACAGGAGGGUGACAGCUCUUGCACUCCCUGGAAUUUUAUUCCAUUGCACGGGAAUGAGUGUCACCUCCUUUCUGAGAUGUGGUACCUAGACAGGAGGGUGACAGCUCUUGCACUCCCUGGAAUUUUAUUCCAUUGCACGGGAAUGAGUGUCACCUCCUUUUAAAAAUCUUCUCCCCUAGCCCCUGCACCCAGAGGACUUGUUUCCAUUGCACCUGGUGGGGUAAGGGAGUAAUCUAAAGCUUUUGAUCGCUUACUCCCCAAAGAAGGAGUUUGCUUGAUCGAGCUUAGGGCCCUCUUGUACCGUGCUUAUAGGCUUUUAGGCAGUUUUCAUUUAUUUAUUUAUAACAAAAAGGGAGAUGUGGGGAGCCGAGACUCAGAUGCCACUAGCUGGCGCUGACAUCUUGCCCUCAAAACUUAAACCUCCAGGGUGCAUGCGUAGAUGCGUAUACACGCUAAAGAUUGCGUGAGCACGCUAAGGAUUGCGUAGGCACGCCGGUAAGAGUGAGCAGCCAACCAGGGUAUUGACACGUCACAAGGCCGCUAGCAUAAUGGUCCUAGUCAUCAGGCGGGGUAAAAGUAAGCAGCCAGUCAGGGUAUUCACACGUCACUCAGGUGCGACCCCGGCUUAUAUAAACAGCGCUACUCCGGGGCCCGCCCUCUCCUUCGAUCUCUUCCCCGUUUCCCCGCCCGGGGCCGCGGCCCUCGGGAAGCCGCCCGCGCCCACGAGGUGGCCGGGCGGCCUCUCUCUCCCCUCUUCAUCGCGUGACUAAUAAAGUUUACUGCGGAAGGA